AAGCCAAUGGGAAGAGGAAGCGGGCCGGCCAGGUGUAUCCAGGCGGCUAGCCAAUGAGGAAGUCCCACGGUAGAGCACGUGGCGGUUGUUGUGGCUGCUAUGGGGGCGUGGGGGUGUUGUGGCCAAUCAGAACUGUCGUUUGACAGCAUCUAGACGAGAACCAAUAGCAAGGACCCACGAGUUGCCACGGGGCGGGUCUAUGAAAAAAGGAGGCACACAACGAGUUGAGCGUGGGGCGGGAGGAGGAUGCUGGGCCUGCUUCGGGCCAACCUCCGGUUUACUGGUGACACUCUGUGAAACUUAAGAGUCCAGCUAUCACAUGCUGGCCCCAGUCGCGAUCCUCCUGGGUGUACGCUGUGGGGAGGACCCGGCUGAGGCGGCUGAGCCAUGCUGGAGCAAGUGGGCAGACUGGAGAUGGGCCAGCUUUAGCCAGCCAUUUAUUGAGGACCUACUGUGUGUCGAGCAUUCUGGAUAAAUGCUGGGGAUCCUGUAGCCAACAAAAGUCACUGUCUAUCGUGGUCCAGACAGUUCAAUAACCACACGACCUAGAACAGCUUCUUGAGGGAAAAUAAUGCCUGAGACGAAGCUCCUCGCUAUGAAAUUGAAAAUAAGAUCCGGAACCCGAGUGAACACGUCCCAGCUCCAGGGGAGAGAGGAAGGUUGACUGUGGGUUAGGAGCUGGCCCCCAGGCCUUGGUCACCCCCAUCUCCAGCCUGGAUCGAGAUAUGCAUCGGCUGUUUAAUUCCUACAACGUCUGAACCUGGAAUCCCUGAUACCCAUUUUCUCUUCUGGAUACAAACCCGAAACUACCCACCAGGAAAUCACUCUAACGCGCCCGCUCCUGUCCAUCCCGGAAGAAGAAGAGUAUGUUCUGAUAAUGAAGGCAAUGGAAAACAAGAAACAAGAAGGGAUGUGGAAGAGGCGGUGCCACCUGUCUGGGUCUCUCCCUGUCAUCCAGCCAUUUGUGAACCCGGCACCGCACCAGGCCACCAGUGCUGCUGGAAGCCGAUUAGCAGAGCCAGCCUAGAGAUCUCAAGUUACUCUCUGGAAUAACAUUCCUUGCUUAUUCCUAACAAUUUCCCUGCCAGUUUUUUUUUUUUUAAACUGUACUCGUGUGUGUGUGUGUGUGUGUGUGUGUGUGUGUGUGUGUGUGACUUCUGGGUCACCUUCUGCUGGCUCUCUGCCUGGUGGUCCUUGGAAAAGCCAGGCUGGGAGAGAAAUAGCAAGCCCCGGGGCUUUCCAAGCACUUUUGGUGACUGAACUCAGCGUGUCUGUCUGACUCCCUAAACCCGGAGGCUGCAAGGGAGGUUGCGUGGGUCAGGGUCCUCCAUUAACUUUAGGGCCAGCAUCAAGUAACCGCUGAGACCUCAUCUCCCAAACAGAUUACUGGGGUUACCUACGUGCAUACAAACAGCUUUGGGGAUGUACCUACUGCAAAAGGACUCAUUGCUCAGGGUUCCCGGCUCAGCCUCCGUCCUGGAUGGAUCUUAGAUCGCGCAAUGAACCCACUUUACGAGUUAUCUACGCGAUGGUGAUGGUGCAACUUCCAAGAAGCUUACUGACGCUUUUGACGCCCUCCCCGCCCCCAGUCACACAUGAGGAAACAGAGGCAGGAGCAUGGACUAAAGGCACUCGUGCAAAGAGAGGGCAUGGAGACUGCCCCCUCUCACCCCCCUCAAACUGAUGAAUCUCUCUUGGCAAAUGUGGAAGUGAGGACAAUACGAUAGCAACCGGCUGCGACCACAAACUGCCUCCAACUAUUUCUCCCCCCUCAAUGGUUCUCCAAGCCCUGUAAAAAUCUCACAGCUAGAGGUAACAUUCCAGUGUGAUUAAGAUGGAGAUUCAGAGAUCAGAAAGAGCUGUGGUCAAAACUUCCAGCCACAAGAGAAACCGGCCUCCAUCAUGUCUUCACGCUUCAAGAGCAGGACCCUUGAUUUCAAUCCUAAUGAGUUUUCUUUGCCUGUUUUCUCCUCCGACGCACACCCCCCCCCCCUUCCUGCUCUUUCCCGAUCCUAUCGUGCACAUUUAAAAAAAAUGGCUUUGCCACAAGUUCGGUGUACAGGAGUAGGAGAGUGUGGGUGAGCACUGUUUUAAGCUUUGCCAAAGUUUCCCCCAUUCUUUUUCUUCUCCCCUUGCCCCCCGACUCCCAAUCUCGCUUUCCCAUCUCCAGGGAUCUUGCAUAGAUCCUUCCAAAGGACCCAGCCUGGACCAGGUUCCUGAAGUGCAGGCUCUGCUGGAGUCUCCAUUCCCAGCCUUCCGCGAUUGGCCGACUUCCCUCCCUCCCUUCCUCUGCUCCCAUUGCGAAGUAUUUUUCCACAAUCAACCCUCCCAAUCCGGGGGGCAGUGGCCGCUGGAGAUUGUGGCAGCUACUCUACGGGUCGGCUAACCGACCAGCUCACGCCCGUUGUCCGCGUGAACAGUUGCCAAGGCAACCACCCGGCAGCCCCUCCUCCCUGCAGCGUAGGGUCCCCAGCAUGCUUUGCGCGGCGGAUUCUAGGAGGAGGGCAGGAAAUGCGGCCCUUCCCAGAAGCCCCUUGGUGGGGGCAGUCCUCUGAAGUAGGGAGCCGUGGGUGCCUCUCAGACGCCCACCCUAGUGGUGGGUAUGGGAGCUGGCGUUCAGAGUUAGAGCGUGUGUUCAAAAUUUUAAAACUAUAGCAGUUUGUGAUCUGUUAAAAAGAACAUUUAGAGUAUGUCUAAUGUUUUGAUGCUGUAAUGAUUGUAAGAUCAUAUUGAGCAUGCCAGUCCGAUAAUCCGCAUCGUAGCUCCUGAAUCCAUGGCUCAGGGAACAUCACAGAAUACCAGGAAGUCUGAGGUGAAACAGUCCCUAGACAUAGCUGCAGAAUUGUCAGCCUUCAAAGCUUAUAUGCACAAACAACAAAAUAGAGCUAGCAGGUUUAUAUAAUUUGUGUACACACAUAUAUAUGUAUGUACCAAUAAUUUAAAAGAUGAGAAGAACUAAGAAAGCCAGCCAGAGGCCAGGAUGGUGGUGCACACACCUUUUGUUUUGUUUUGGUUUUGGUUUUUGAUUUUUUCGAGACAGGGUUUCUCCGUCUAGUCAUGGCUGUCCUGAAACUCACUCUGUAGACCAGGCUGGCCUCGAACUCAGAAAUCCGCCUGCCUCUGCCUCCCAGGGUGCAGGGAUUAUAGGCAUGCCCCACCACCGCCCAGCUGGUGUAUACACCUUGGAUUCCAAGAUCUGGGAGGCAGAAGCAAGAGGAUCUCUGUGAGUUCAGAGUUAGCCUGUUCUGCAUAGACAGUUGCAAGACAGCCAGUUUAUAUAGACAGACCCUGUCCCAAAGAGCAACAAAAAUCCCUCAAACAAAUUAGCUUACAGAGCACUGGGGUCCCAUGUGGGAUUUCCAUGCAGCCUUGGUUUUGGUUAGCCCAUCCAUACCCACUCCUCACCUUCCCACUUUACCCCAUUCCUGCCUAAACCUUUUUAACCUCCAAUAUUACCCGCUUCUUGGUUGUCAUAUUUGAUUUACAACCUCCUUACGCUGUAAGACCUCUUUUUUGCCUUCCUGUCAUGGGCUCUUUCCAGCUCCCUUGGCUGUGGAGACACAGAUCUAAAAAUUCAAAGUGAUGUCCCACAUAUGAGGGAAAACAAGCAGCAUUUAUCCUUUUGGGUUUGGAGUUCUGACUGUCAUCCGCCAUAUUGCUUCCUCCAGUAUGUUUCUCUAUGUCGUUGUGGAAGGAGUAUUUAUCUUUUUUUUUUUUUUUUUUUUUUUUUGAGACAGGGUUUCUCUGAGUAGCCCUGGCUGUGCUGGAACUCACUGUGGAGGCCAGAUUGGCUUUGAACUCAGAUCUGCCUGCCUCUGCCUCUCAAUUGCUAGGAUUAACCCACCACUGCCCAGCUUCUUCCUUUCUUUCGUUUUGUCUGUUUUUGUUUUUGAGAGAGGCUCUCUCUAUGUAGUCCUGACUGUCCUCAAACUCAAUAAAUAAACCAGACUGGCCUUAAACUUACAGAGAUCUUCCUGUGUCUACCUCUCAGUAUAUAGAAGUUUUCUCAUGUGUGUGUG